rnacentral:rRNA from 1 species
UAGAGUUUGAUCAUGGCUCAGGAUGAACGCUAGCGACAGGCUUAACACAUGCAAGUCGAGGGGCAGCGGGGAGGUAGCAAUACUUCCGCCGGCGACCGGCGCACGGGUGAGUAACACGUAUGGAACCUGCCCGUAGCAGGGGGAUAAACGGAAGAAAUUCCGUCUAAUACCGCGUAAUAACUCCGAGAGGCAUCUCAUGGAGUUUAAAGGGUAACACCGGCUACGGAUGGCCAUGCGGCGCAUUAGCUAGUUGGCGGGGUAACGGCCCACCAAGGCGACGAUGCGUAGGGGUUCUGAGAGGAAGGUCCCCCACACUGGUACUGAGACACGGACCAGACUCCUACGGGAGGCAGCAGUGAGGAAUAUUGGUCAAUGGGCGCGAGCCUGAACCAGCCAAGUCGCGUGAGGGAAGACGGUCCUAUGGAUUGUAAACCUCUUUUGUCGGGGAGCAAAAGACGCCACGCGUGGCGUUCCGAGAGUACCCGAAGAAAAAGCAUCGGCUAACUCCGUGCCAGCAGCCGCGGUAAUACGGAGGAUGCGAGCGUUAUCCGGAUUUAUUGGGUUUAAAGGGUGCGCAGGCGGAAGAUCAAGUCAGCGGUAAAAUUGAGAGGCUCAACCUCUUCGAGCCGUUGAAACUGGUUUUCUUGAGUGAGCGAGAAGUAUGCGGAAUGCGUGGUGUAGCGGUGAAAUGCAUAGAUAUCACGCAGAACUCCGAUUGCGAAGGCAGCAUACCGGCGCUCAACUGACGCUCAUGCACGAAAGUGUGGGUAUCGAACAGGAUUAGAUACCCUGGUAGUCCACACGGUAAACGAUGAAUACUAAUUGUUCGGGGAGAAUGAUCCCUGAGUGAUACAGCGAAAGCGUUAAGUAUUCCACCUGGGGAGUACGCCGGCAACGGUGAAACUCAAAGGAAUUGACGGGGGCCCGCACAAGCGGAGGAACAUGUGGUUUAAUUCGAUGAUACGCGAGGAACCUUACCCGGGCUCAAACGACACAGGAAUACUUUUGAAAGGAGGUAGCUCUACGGAGUCUGUGUCGAGGUGCUGCAUGGUUGUCGUCAGCUCGUGCCGUGAGGUGUCGGCUUAAGUGCCAUAACGAGCGCAACCCCCAUCGCCAGUUACCAGCAAGUCAAGUUGGGGACUCUGGCGAGACUGCCGGCGCAAGCUGUGAGGAAGGCGGGGAUGACGUCAAAUCAGCACGGCCCUUACGUCCGGGGCGACACACGUGUUACAAUGGCAGGUACAGAGAGAAGCAAUGCGGCGACGCAAAGCGGAACUUGAAAGCCUGUCUCAGUUCGGAUUGGAGUCUGCAACUCGACUCCAUGAAGCUGGAUUCGCUAGUAAUCGCGCAUCAGCCAUGGCGCGGUGAAUACGUUCCCGGGCCUUGUACACACCGCCCGUCAAGCCAUGGAAGCCGGGAGUGCCUGAAGUGAGCAACCGCAAGGAGCGCCCUAAGGUAAAACUGGUGACUGGGGCUAAGUCGUAACAAGGUAGCCGUAA